rnacentral:lncRNA from 1 species
UUAAAAGUCUUUUUCCUUUGACGGGUAAGACUUGCGAAAGUACACUCUGUACUCAGGGUUUUCGAACCCAUGUUGUUGUAGGUGAUGAAACAACAGAGUUUUGCUGUUUCUACUCUAAGGUGGUGCCAAAGCAGGAGGAAGAUCACUAGUUUGUUUCUGGGAGGGUGUUUUGCCUCGCAGUUAUGUAAUAAUAAGUGCUGCACUCGAACACCCUUUAUGUAAUAAAUACUCUCUCUAUAUUUGGUAUGAAUGUGUCACACCCGGGUUUCGGGGGCACCAAGACCCGAGUGCGAAAUAAUCACCAGGUGUGCUAGGACCAAGUCUCACACAUAUGAUGAAUCAUGGUACAGAAAUGAAUGUCACAUCUUUACUAUAUAAUAGGAGUUCUAUACAGAAUAAAUGAAUAAUUACAUCAUAAGGAGACAACGAUCCAGCAACUUAAAGUUGUCUGGGAGACGACGGUCUAGACCUCUCAUGAACUCAUCACAGCAUCCUCCAUGCGCCUCAUCCUGUGGUACCUCUCCUUGACCUGUGGGGGGUGUGAGACAGCAAGAGUGAGCUCACAUAUGUUCAUCGCUCAACAAGUUGUGGGGAAUAAUAUGGAUGAACUCGCCAAAGGUGAGAGCUCAUGUGAAGUGUAAGGCUUACCAAAGAGGAUGGUUAGAGCUGAGCAUUGGUUUUAAAGUUGGUUAAAAUUUUAUUAGCAAUUACUAAGUAUAAGUAAAUACCAACCCAAUUAAGUAGUAGACCAAAAUGAUAACGACACCAGCGAUGCAAUGCAUAUGACAAAUUGAAUUUAGUUCCAUAAAUUAAUCAUGUGAGUGUCCGAGCUGCUCAUGACCAUGAGCACGGCUGAUAUACCAGUUUUACACUCUAUAGAGGUUGCACAUCUUUACCCACAAGUCAUGUUACCCAUCCGCCAAGGGAUCACGACUUCCCAUACUCCUCUACCGAGGAGGCGAGGCAGGGUAACACUACGAGGCCUUUACAAAGAUCCACUAGCUUCAGAAAACCCACUACAGUUCUAGGAAGCUCCAAUGCAGGGACCCCUCCCCUGACCGCCAUCGUAGCAAAAUCAACCCAAGGGCCUCCCUACACUGACCACUCCCCUACUGCCCUUGCCCCUUUUGGGUAAGGUAGUCCUCCACUAGUUUUCCUAAUUAGUCAGCCAAGGGUGUCCCAUACCACCCUUGUGGUAGCACUGUUUUCCCGGGUGGUUCUCCAUGUUCCAAUUAACAUAAUGAUCUUAUCAUGAACAGUAAAUAACAAACUGAUAAUAAAAGUGUGAUCAUGAAUAAUGUAUAUCUCUAUACCCAAAACCGCAUAAAGCAAUAGCAGGUACUACCCAAAAAUUCAGUGGUAAACAAGGUAUAAAGAUAGUCAAACUAGGGUAACCUAUUGGGUGACCUCACUGCUAAACGUAGCAAUAUAAACAAACAUGGUAUAGGUAAAAUUAACAUCACACCAAACAUAAGAACAAAAUGCGUAAGAAUAUUGUAUGUGUCACUACGAGAUCGUGGGAUCGAAAACCACCAAGAUCGGAGUUAUGGUUACAGAGUUAUGAUUUAUGGAAGAUCUAUGUGAUUUAAAUAUUAAAAUAUAUUAUAAAUUGAUUAGUGUAUAUCAUAUGAGAGAAUAUUCUAAAAUAAUUAAAUCAACCUUAAUCUUAAUUAUAACUUGAAUAGAGAUAUAUUUUUGUCACACUAUAAUUAUGGAUAUAUUAACUUUGUUUAGAAGGUUUAAUCUACUAAGCAUGUGUUAAGCAAAUUAGUUAUCUGUUUUUGAAGGUAUGUUAUAUGAUCAAAUAAUAUUACUAGAGUGUAGAGAACAUUUUUACGAAGAUUAUGCAAUUUGAACGGACUAAAACGGGGUUAAUACACAAAAGCUAUGGGCUAAUGAGUUUUAGGGUAUUUUAAGGUUUAUUUUGCAAUAAAAGCGAAUUCCAGGGCCCCAAUUACAAAUAUCAGGGAGCCCGAUGUAAAGAUUCCCAACGGACGAGGAUGGCAGGUUAAUUGAGGAGGAACACAGGGUCUCUUAUGCAAGAUCUCCAGCCGAAGGGGUAUGGGCGAAUGGUGGCCGCACGAUCAGAGAUCAAGGGUCCAGAUCGACUUAACGAAAUCGUUUUCCCUUGCUCUAAUCUUCAUCGUCCGAUCAGAUAUCAACGGUUCUAACUUACUCGCCCAAAACUAUCCGAACUUAUAAUCUCGUCCGUUUGAUUCGGAUCGAUGACGAGGAGCCUUUCUUCCUCUCCCAAGCUGACCGGACACGGCGUACAGAAACCCCGCGAUGGUGGAGCUCACCGGCGUACAUACGGCCGGCAAAUCAGAGCCUUAAAACCGAAUCAGACGAAGCUAUGCGAAGAGGAUGGAAAAACAGAGCUAGUCAGCGGUUCAUUACCUCGGUUCUUUCAGUUAAGCCUUCUGCCCACGGUGAGGUGCGGGUCUGUGGACUAGCGUUGAUGCCAGCGAGAAAUCAUCGAUGGUCUAAUACCCCCCGAUUGCCAAUUGAUGACUCAUAUGGCUUCAACACACUCCGAUGAUACACCUAGAGCGCCGAAUCGGAGUUAAGCGCCGACGACAACGUAAUUUGCCCGCGGCGGCCCAAUGCUCUCCACUGCCGGUGAUGGGUCACGAGGCACGACGCUGGC